rnacentral:lncRNA from 1 species
CUAGUAUGGUACAAUGGGAAGGUGUGAAAUCCUGCAUCCAGUAGGAACACUUCCUUCAGUUUUCAUUACCUUUAUUAGAUAAGAAUAACAGAAUAAUUUGUACUCUUUCAAGGUUUCUACAAGAUAAUUGACUUCUUUGUGAUCCUCUUCAAAUUGGAAGCCGCCUGACUCUAUAUGCUGCAGGGGGAGUGAAGAGGAAGGUGAAGUGGUGCAGUCUCAGACUCUGCUCCCCACCAAAAGAUGCAGCUCCCGAGGCUCCAGUUUGGCCGGUGGACCCACAGAUGUGCAGGAGCGCUGUCUGCCGGGACACACGGCCCCGAAGGAGCCCUGCGGCGGUCCCUGCUCCCGGGGGGCACGCACAGAUGGGCAUCUCCAGCAGCCCGAAUUCCAGCUCCUGGCUCUGCCAGCCCGGUGACGGCAGCACAUUUGCACAAGGAGCCACUGGUUUAUUUUGAUACCAAAUUUCCAGCUACUGAAGGUAAUUGAGACUGCAAACAAAAUCUCACCAUCCACUGAUCUGCCAAAUCAAAUUUUUUCUCCUGUAAGUAGAGUGUUUUUCCUUAGCUUCAGAGAGGAAAAGAAUUAUGCAGAAUGAAUGAGAAAGAAAAGGGGUUAGUUUAGAAGGGGAUUAGUUUAUAUAAUGACCAUAGCAGCCAUCUCUCUGUUGAUCUGUCGUAGUUCAUUCUCGAAGAUGCAAAUUAUUAUCAUUGUCAUUUAGAACAGAGCUUGUUCAUUUUCCUCCUGCUGCAUCUGCUUACCACUCUCCAAAUUAACACAUAUUUUAAUAAAAACUAAAUAUCCUGACUAUAGCCGGGAUAU